rnacentral:rRNA from 1 species
CCUACUGGAGGCAGCAGUGGGGAAUAUUGGGCAAUGGGCGCAAGCCUGACCCAGCAACGCCGCGUGAAGGAAGAAGGCUUUCGGGUUGUAAACUUCUUUUGACAGGGAAGAGCAGAAGACGGUACCUGUCGAAUAAGCCACGGCUAACUACGUGCCAGCAGCCGCGGUAAUACGUAGGUGGCAAGCGUUGUCCGGAUUUACUGGGUGUAAAGGGCGUGUAGCCGGGCUGACAAGUCAGAUGUGAAAUCCGGGGGCUCAACCCCCGAACUGCAUUUGAAACUGUUGGUCUUGAGUAUCGGAGAGGCAGGCGGAAUUCCUAGUGUAGCGGUGAAAUGCAUAGAUAUCACGCAGAACCCCGAUUGCGAAGGCAGCAUACCGGUGCACAACUGACGCUCAGGCACGAAAGCGUGGGUAUCGAACAGGAUUAGAUACCCCAGUAGUC